UACGUAGGGUGCAAGCGUUGUCCGGAAUUAUUGGGCGUAAAGAGCUUGUAGGCGGUUUGUCGCGUCUGCUGUGAAAUUUCGGGGCUCAACCCCGAACUUGCAGUGGGUACGGGCAGACUAGAGUGUGGUAGGGGAGACUGGAAUUCCUGGUGUAGCGGUGAAAUGCGCAGAUAUCUGGAGGAACACCGGUGGCGAAGGCGGCAUCCUGGACCGGUAUUGACGCUGAGGCGCGAAAGCCAGGGGAGCAAACGGG
rnacentral:rRNA from 1 species